AUUGAACGCUGGCGGCAUACUUUACACAUGCAAGUCGAACGGUAACAGGCCGCAAGGUGCUGACGAGUGGCGAACGGGUGAGUAAUGCAUCGGAACGUGCCCAGUCGUGGGGGAUAACGCAGCGAAAGCUGUGCUAAUACCGCAUACGAUCUAUGGAUGAAAGCGGGGGACCGUAAGGCCUCGCGCGAUUGGAGCGGCCGUUGUCAGAUUAGGUAGUUGGUGGGGUAAAGGCUCACCAAGCCAACGAUCUGUAGCUGGUCUGAGAGGACGACCAGCCACACAGGGACUGAGACACGGCCCAGACUCCUACGGGAGGCAGCAGUGGGGAAUUUUGGACAAUGGGCGCAAGCCUGAUCCAGCAAUGCCGCGUGCAGGAAGAAGGCCUUCGGGUUGUAAACUGCUUUUGUACGGAACGAAACGGUCUGGGUUAAUACCCUGGGCUAAUGACGGUACCGUAAGAAUAAGCACCGGCUAACUACGUGCCAGCCGCCGCCGUAACAC
rnacentral:rRNA from 1 species